GACGAACGCUGGCGGCGUGCUUAACACAUGCAAGUCGAACGGAAAGGCCCUGCUUUUGUGGGGUGCUCGAGUGGCGAACGGGUGAGUAACACGUGAGUAACCUGCCCUUGACUUUGGGAUAACUUCAGGAAACCGGGGCUAAUACCGGAUAGGAGCUCCUGCUGCAUGGUGGGGGUUGGAAAGUUUCGGCGGUUGGGGAUGGACUCGCGGCUUAUCAGCUUGUUGGUGGGGUAGUGGCUUACCAAGGCUUUGACGGGUAGCCGGCCUGAGAGGGUGACCGGCCACAUUGGGACUGAGAUACGGCCCAGACUCCUACGGGAGGCAGCAGUGGGGAAUAUUGCACAAUGGGCGGAAGCCUGAUGCAGCAACGCCGCGUGCGGGAUGACGGCCUUCGGGUUGUAAACCGCUUUCGCCUGUGACGAAGCGUGAGUGACGGUAAUGGGUAAAGAAGCACCGGCUAACUACGUGCCAGCAGCCGCGGUGAUACGUAGGGUGCGAGCGUUGUCCGGAUUUAUUGGGCGUAAAGGGCUCGUAGGUGGUUGAUCGCGUCGGAAGUGUAAUCUUGGGGCUUAACCCUGAGCGUGCUUUCGAUACGGGUUGACUUGAGGAAGGUAGGGGAGAAUGGAAUUCCUGGUGGAGCGGUGGAAUGCGCAGAUAUCAGGAGGAACACCAGUGGCGAAGGCGGUUCUCUGGGCCUUUCCUGACGCUGAGGAGCGAAAGCGUGGGGAGCGAACAGGCUUAGAUACCCUGGUAGUCCACGCUGUAAACGGUGGGUACUAGGUGUGGGGUCCAUUCCACGGGUUCCGUGCCGUAGCUAACGCUUUAAGUACCCCGCCUGGGGAGUACGGCCGCAAGGCUAAAACUCAAAGGAAUUGACGGGGCCCCGCACAAGCGGCGGAGCAUGCGGAUUAAUUCGAUGCAACGCGUAGAACCUUACCUGGGUUUGACAUGGAUCGGGAGCGCUCAGAGAUGGGUGUGCCUCUUUUGGGGUCGGUUCACAGGUGGUGCAUGGCUGUCGUCAGCUCGUGUCGUGAGAUGUUGGGUUAAGUCCCGCAACGAGCGCAACCCUUGUUCACUGUUGCCAGCACGUUAUGGUGGGGACUCAGUGGAGACCGCCGGGGUCAACUCGGAGGAAGGUGGGGAUGACGUCAAGUCAUCAUGCCCCUUAUGUCCAGGGCUUCACGCAUGCUACAAUGGCUGGUACAGAGAGUGGCGAGCCUGUGAGGGUGAGCGAAUCUCGGAAAGCCGGUCUCAGUUCGGAUUGGGGUCUGCAACUCGACCUCAUGAAGUCGGAGUCGCUAGUAAUCGCAGAUCAGCAACGCUGCGGUGAAUACGUUCCCGGG
rnacentral:rRNA from 1 species